rnacentral:rRNA from 1 species
AUUGAACGCUGGCGGCAGGCCUAACACAUGCAAGUCGAGCGGAUGAAGGGAGCUUGCUCCUGGAUUCAGCGGCGGACGGGUGAGUAAUGCCUAGGAAUCUGCCUGGCAGUGGGGGCUAACGUCCGGAAACGGGCGCUAAUACCGCAUACGUCCAGAGGGAGAAAGUGGGGGAUCUUCGGACCUCACGCUAUCAGAUGAGCCUAGGUCGGAUUAGCUAGUUGGUGGGGUAAAGGCCUACCAAGGCGACGAUCCGUAACUGGUCUGAGAGGAUGAUCAGUCACACUGGAACUGAGACACGGUCCAGACUCCUACGGGAGGCAGCAGUAGGGAAUAUUGGACAAUGGGCGAAAGCCUGAUCCAGCCAUGCCGCGUGUGUGAAGAAGGUCUUCGGAUCGUAAAGCACUUUUAGUUGGGAGGAAGAGCAGUAAGAUAAUACCUUGCUGUUUUGACGGUACCAACAGAAUAAGCACCGGCUAACUACGUG